GCCCCAGUAGCUUAAUCCUAAAGCGUCGGUCUUGUAAACCGAAGAUCGGAGGUUAAACUCCUCCCUGGAGCC
rnacentral:tRNA from 1 species